GGCCUCGUGGCCCAAUGGCAAGGCGUCUGACUACGAUUGUGACUCAAUACGAGUCCCUUAGGAUAAUCAGGAGAUUCUGGGUUCGACCCCCAGCGAGGUCA